CUGGGUUAGAACCUAAGUAUUAUGACUCCUUCUAAUCUAUUUUUGUUUGUUUGUUUGUUUGAGAAAACCUCUAGAGACUAUGGUUCCUAGGAUAUCACUGGUAGAAUGCUUUCAUCAACUCUGGGGCAUGCAGAUGAGUCCCUUCUAUGUGAACAUGGGAGAAUUUCCAGGCUUCAAAACGACCUGUUCUGUAUCUGAGCUUCCUUCCUGAUAUCCUUCAAAAGGCCCAGAGAAUCACAAGCACCCUGCCUUCUCCUGCUACCUCAGAUAUACAGCUGUAUCUCUUUUUUUCUCAAUGACCCUUAUAACAUCCUGAAAUUCUGACGAUGUGAACAAGAAGAAAGAAUCAGAAUCCCACAGAUCAAUUCUGAUAAAAUGAUAUUGCCACCAGCCCCUUGAUACUUCUUGCUCCGUGGAGAGUAAAGACCCCAGCCAAACCUUGCUCAAGACCAGGAAAUCUUCAGAGGAUCGCAGAUCUGAUGAUACAAGGUCUCAAGUGAGAAAUUCCUUUCAGUCUUUCCAUGGUAAGAGAGCCAGGUCCCUCUCUGUUUACUUAGUUUUGUUAUGGGAACCUGAAUUAGGGUAGUGGCUAAGUGAAUGGAGAGGAGCUUCCUGCCAGCUCUAAGUGGGACCUGAGUGAGUUGUUGCCCCCAGGACAUUAGGGCAGCUAAAGUGGAGAAAGGCUGUCUGGGGUCCUCCCACAUCUUAGAGAAAAACAGGAAGCUGGCAUUUGGAUGGAGGGCUUCUUAGUCUCCUCUUUUCUCUGAUUAUCUAAUAUCCUGAGAUGAGUGUUUACAUAACAAAGCAGAAUGAUUUGCCCAUUCACUGGCUGGGAUGAAGUCUGGUAGAUCUUUUAAUAAUGUGAUUCUCUAGUCCAAGGUAGACUAGUAAUGAGAUGUUUUUUACAGCAGGGGCGGGGAACCUUUUUUCUGGAAGGGCCGUUUGGAUAUUUAUAACAUCUUUUGGGGGCCAUACCAAAUUAUCAACUUAUAAAACUCAAGCAAUGGGAGAUUUUUGACUCUACCUUUCAGCUCAUCAUUGCCUGUGGUUGCUUUAGUAACUGAUUUCUCAGGCCUUAGAUGGCUCCUGCUUUAUAGCCAUUGCAGGGACAUUGUAGUUAUAAGGGUCUGAUCAGAGGAGGCAACAUAUGGGAAAGUUUUGCAAACCUUAAAAUGUUAUGCAAAUAAUGUCGAGUUAAUUUGUCCCCAAGGGCCACAAUUUCAGGCCCCGUUUCUCCUUACCUCUUGCUCAUACUAUUGCAAAAGACUGCUAACCAAACUCUCUGCCACAAGUCUCUCCCUCUCCUGCUCAUUUUCCAUUGUGCCAGUGAUGUUUCAAAGUUCAGUCCUGAACACAUCUUCCCCCCAGUCAAUCAACCAGUUGUUUUUU